rnacentral:rRNA from 1 species
UACGUAGGGUGCGAGCGUUAAUCGGAAUUACUGGGCGUAAAGCGUGCGCAGGCGGUGAGCUGUGUCCGAUGUGAAAGCCCCGGGCUUAACCUGGGAAUGGCAUUGGAAACUGGCUCGCUGGAGUGUGGCAGAGGGGGGUGGAAUUCCGCGUGUAGCAGUGAAAUGCGUAGAGAUGCGGAGGAGCACCGAUGGCGAAGGCAGCCCCCUGGGCUGACACUGACGCUCAGGCACGAAAGCGUGGGGAGCAAACAGG